rnacentral:rRNA from 1 species
AUGCAGGAAACUUACACACCAAAUGAUGCCACAGAAGAGAUUGCAGUACAAGAAGAAGAAGAAAUCCCACAGGAUCAGGACUCCCCUCCAAAUGAGUAUCUCAUGCAUAUUUCGGCUCAUGCAGUUUCAGGGCAGGUCACUGCUGGCACAUUUUCAGUCAAGGUCACUGUUGGUGGACAAACAGGCAUUGCCCUUAUUGAUACCGGCAGUUCAAGUACAUUCAUUGAUUUGUAUUUAGCAGUUACAACCACUUGCCAUAUCCAAAAGAAAAAAUCGGCUAAAAUAGAUGUGGCUGGGGGAGGCCAACUUACAUCUGGGGCAAUCAUAGCAGACACUGCAUUCUGCUUCUUGGUUUUCCAAAGGUCCGGAGGAGCAGAAGAGUUUCUAGUCGAGAAGGGUCGGGCAUUAGCAAAUCCUUCAAUCCCAACUCUUGAAAAGAAGAAACCAAUUUUAAGGCAUCUCCUCCCCUCGGUGCAUAUUAUCAUAUAG